AUUGAACGCUGGCGGCAGGCCUAACACAUGCAAGUCGAGCGGAUGAAGGGAGCUUGCUCCCUGAUUUAGCGGCGGACGGGUGAGUAAUGCCUAGGAAUCUGCCUGGUAGUGGGGGACAACGUUUCGAAAGGAACGCUAAUACCGCAUACGUCCUACGGGAGAAGGUGGGGGAUCUUCGGACCUCACGCUAUCAGAUGAGCCUAGGUCGGAUUAGCUAGUUGGUGAGGUAAAGGCUCACCAAGGCGACGAUCCGUAACUGGUCUGAGAGGAUGAUCAGUCACAAUGGAACUGAGACACGGUCCGGACUCCUACGGGAGGCAGCAGUGGGGAAUAUUGGACAAUGGGCGAAAGCCUGAUCCAGCCAUGCCGCGUGUGUGAAGAAGGUCUUCGGAUUGUAGAGCACUUUAAGUUGGGAGGAAGGGCAGUAAGUUAAUACCUUGCUGUUUUGACGUUACCAACAGAAUAAGCACCGGCUAACUUCGUGCCAGCAGCCGCGGUAACAC
rnacentral:rRNA from 1 species